CGCACAACUUCUCCGCCAAGUACGUCCCCUUCGAGGCCGUCGCCGGCGGCGGCACCUCCCCGGAGUCCCAUUUCAAUGAUAAUCUUUUUUAUUAGCCCAUUUGAAUAUAAGGUACUUAUUUUAAGCUCAAAUACACAAAUCUUUAUUAAAAUAUAAUAAAAUUAUAUUUUUAAAGACUUUUUUACCUUUAGCUUUUACUUAAAGAGAAAAAAUGAAAAAGAUGGAGGGAAGACUUUGCCGGAAGUACACCGGGCUCCGGCGCCAGUCACCGACGGCCGCAUUCCGGUCGCCGGACUCCGAACUCCGACCGUCGGAAUCCGGUCACCGGUGACCGGAAUUUUCCGACGGCCGGAAAAUUGCCAGUAUCCGGUGGCCGGAAUUUUUCGGAAAUCUCACUGGAUUUUUUUAAAUGCCAUCGGAAUUUACGUGAUCUUAACCCAAGUACGAAAAAUAAAGUUUACUACCCCUAGUAAACUUUUACUGGGGGUAGUAAACUUGCAAAACAGUAUUUUCAAGACCAUAAUACACACUAAAACAGAGGAAGAACAAUUUAGAUUCGAAAAACUAAAGUUUACUACCCCUAGUAAACUUUUACUGGGGGUAGUAAACUUACAAAACAGUAGCUCCAAUGCCAUAAUUCAUAUUGAAAAGGAGAAAAAUCAACAUAUAUAAACAAAAAAAUAAAGUUUACCACCCCUAGUAAACAUCUUACUAGGGGUAGUAAUCUUGCAAAAUAAUAUCUCCAAGGCUAUAAGUACACAUUAAAACGGAGAAAAAUCAACUUAGAUGCGAAAAAAUAAAAUUUACUACCCCUAGUAAACUUUUACUGAGGGUAGUAAACUUGCAAAACAGUAUUUUCAAGACCAUAAUACACACUAAAACAGAGGAAGAACAAUUUAGAUUCGAAAAACUAAAGUUUACUACCCCUAGUAAACUUUUACUGGGGGUAAUAAACUUACAAACCAGUAGCUCCAAUGCCAUAAUUCAUAUUGAAAAGGAGAAAAAUCAACAUAUAUGCAAAAAAAUAAAGUUUACCACCCCUAGUAAACAUCUUACUGGGGGUAGUAAUCUUGCAAAAUAAUAUCUCCAAGGCUAUAAGUACACAUU
rnacentral:lncRNA from 1 species